GUAACAAGGUCUCCGUAGGUGAACCUGCGGAGGGAUCAUUACACAAUAAAAUAUGAAGGCUGUACGCGGCUGUGCUCUCGGGCCAGUUUUGCGGAGGCUGAAUUAUUUAUUACCCUUGUCUUUUGCGCACUUGUUGUUUCCUGGGCGGGUUCGCCCGCCACCAGGACCACAUCAUAAACCUUUUUUAUGCAGUUGCAAUCAGCGUCAGUAUAACAAAUGUAAAUCAUUUACAACUUUCAACAACGGAUCUCUUGGUUCUGGCAUCGAUGAAGAACGCAGCGAAAUGCGAUACGUAGUGUGAAUUGCAGAAUUCAGUGAAUCAUCGAAUCUUUGAACGCACAUUGCGCCCUUUGGUAUUCCAAAGGGCAUGCCUGUUCGAGCGUCAUUUGUACCCUCAAGCUUUGCUUGGUGUUGGGCGUUUUUUGUCUUUGGUUGCCAAAGACUCGCCUUAAAAGGAUUGGCAGCCGGCCUACUGGUUUCGCAGCGCAGCACAUUUUUGCGCUUGCAAUCAGCAAAAGAGGACGGCAAUCCAUCAAGACUCCUUCUCACGUUUGACCUCGGAUC
rnacentral:rRNA from 1 species